rnacentral:ncRNA from 2 species
UAAAUAUGCGGCGAUGGAGUUCGCCCUUAAGUGCUUAAAGCUAAUGACUCCUACCCUAUU